rnacentral:lncRNA from 1 species
UGCUACACAGAAGUUUGUACUACACAAAUAGUCAAUGCUAUUUCCAAACCACCAUGAGAUUACUUAUAAUAAACUUACCUAGAAGUUGAAAUUCAACCGAACAUAAACAUCAGGCACAUCAGAAAGAUGGCAGCAGUUUAAGUCUUGAAGGUUCUCUUCAUUUAUGUCCUAGUUCACGGGAAAAACAAAAAAUGUGAUUGCAAAGAUGUGAUUCCCAACAACAAAGCCUACCAAAAUCUAAUCCUUUCACCAGUACCUACCUACCACCAAUUGAAUAUCCCACCAACACUCCAAAUUUUGACAGCCCUUAAGAAAAAAACUGUUCUAUGAAGCACAAAACUCUUCCAACACAUUGCUUGCAAGAUUUACUAUGUUUAAACCUCUGAUUUAUUGGUAUCAUGCGAUUUCUUUGAAAAUUUACAUAAACCUCAAAAAGUAGUAAAAGUGCUGCAGCAGCAUGAGGAGUUUUAUAACAAAGAAGUCAUUCAUUUCUACCGAUAAACUGAAACAAUGAUUGAUACAAAGGUCUUCGCAUCAGAUAAAAAUGACUGACUACGAAGAAUUCAAGUGCAAAAUGACUGACCAAGAAGACUUCUAUUUUUCAGAAAGGUAAAAAACAAUUAAUUGUUAUGGUACAAAUUCUAAAGUUAAUAAGCCCUUGAAGCAGGAAGCCAUAAAAAGAGCAGAAUUUUACAACAUACGUCUCAGAAACAAAUAGACUCAUUUGAAAUGUUCUUAAAGAAAUAAUACAGUGCCAAAUUGGAAUCAUAUCGGAGAAUAAAUAAAGAGGUCUAAGAUAUUUUAUCCAUAAACCUAAAAACUACAGAGAACAAAAAUAACAAUCACUCAAAUGGAAAGUACGGGGAAGCACUGCAUCAAAGGUCAGGUGGCAUACCAGAAUUUUGAUUCAAAUGUCAUGGCUGAGAACCUUUGCAUCAAAAGCAGCUGCAAGAGCAAAUGAUGAUGCUGCGAUAGGAGUCCAAACUAAACAGCAAAAAAUUAGAGAGAAUAAGAGUAAGAAUUCGAACAGAGUUCCUCUCAUAGAACUAAAGAAGUGAUGUUGAAACAACCAUUUUUUCCCAUUUUGUUUGACCAAGAAUCUAUUUGUAUAAAAUCCAAAUCCAAAUGCAGAAGAGAUAUGAGAAUAUAACAGAGGACCCUAACAGUUAAGAUUAGAGAGAAUAAGAGUCUGCAUUCGAACACAGUUAAGCGAUUUGUUCCAACACCUAACAAAAUUAAGAAUGGAUAAACAAAUACCUCAAUGAUGGUUUUUUGGCGCCUGCUCUGUGAAUGCAUGGUUUGAUGUGUAUGCUUGUGUUUGAUCUGCAUACAUGUCAAGAAAAAAUUAAGAAGUGCAUCACAGAAAUACAUAAGCAACCAAGAAUUGGAAAAACAAACUACCAACAGAGGAGCUAAACAGUUGCUAAAACAGCCUAAUCUCCCCAACACUCACAUCACAGAAAUACAGAAGCAACAAAGUAUGGAGAAACAAUCUAGCAACAGAGGGAUAUUCAAACGAUGUGAAGCGGAAAAGCAACCUCAAUUUGAUUUGUUGAGAAGGAAACAGCAGCAAAUCAUGAAGAAACACAGAAAUGAGCACAGUGCAACCCCCUAGCUUAUGAAGACACAAACCUGACUCUAACUGUGUACGGAAACAGAGCACUCAACAGCCUAAUCUCCCUAACACCCAACUAAACAGCCUAUAAACAUCCAUUACAAUUUUAAUGAAACAACAAAAUAUUCAUCACAGUUUUAACAAAGCAAAUGGCAAACCAAACAAUAAACAAUGAUUUUAAAACAGUGCAUUCCCUGUUGAAUCAGAGGUGAAAACUGAAAACCCACUCUCUCCCAUACCUCCCUCAGCCAUUCUCUCCUUAACAACCCUGUGGAGUAACCCGUUAACCCCAAAAAAUGCACACAGCCAUGCUUUCUGCCCUCUCUCUCUCUCUCUCUCUCCCUGUCCAUCCUUCUCUCAAAAAUUGGACAAAAUCCCUUUAUCUCUCUCCCACUCAGUCGAAACACGUAGCUCCCAUCUCUCUCUCCAAUCUGUCAUUCCCUCUGUCCCACUCCUCUCCUCCCCCAACGACCCUCUGACCGAUGCAUCUCCCACAGCCACACACCCACCCGCCCCCGAGUCAAAAAUCCCGGCUAUCCUCUCCCUCCACACUAAAGAUAUUUUCAAACAAAUCACAAUCCAUCCCACAAAGUGCAUCCAACUCCAAGGCAAGACUAAGCAAACACACAAAAUGUAUAAAAACCAAAGAAAAGUAGAAGUGUAACAAUAUUGUUAUGCAUCUGUAUUUAUUCUCACAAAUAACGAAUAUAAGAAUUUGAUGAUCUUGUUACUCAAACUCCAAGGAAAAAUGAAAUAAAAUUCAAUGGUUAAAAUUAAUCAUUCUGUAAAUGUAUUCCCCACAUCUAUAUCAUUCAAGUACAACGGUUUCAACAACAAAAAAUUCCUGAUUGACUUCAGUUCAAAACAUUCAAGUUCAACGUAAUUGAAACCUGUGCAAGAGAUUCGAUGAAAACCCAGUUCCAAUAUUAGCCACAACGAACUGAAGCCGUAUCGGCUCAGCGAGAACCUUCUCGAUAACCUCCUUCAACGCAACCUAUCAAUUCCAACACAAAAAUUGAGAAAAAGUGCGAGAAUAUUUGAGCUUGGGAUUUUCCCGGAAACCAAACAGGGGUCUAGACUCUAAACCAAACCUUGGGCGAGGGGUGGGGUGGAGAGAGAGGGCAGAGCUUUGAGGCGAGCCACCACCUCUACCCUCCUAUCCACCAUAUCUAAACAUCCACAGAGACAAAUUGUCAAACACCUAAUGGGUGCGCAUAUACAAACACACACACAGACCUGUAUAUACAAAAAUUACCACAAACAAACACACAUACACCUAUAAAUACAAAAGGGGGUGUCUAUAUAAUCACCUUGGGGAACAUCUUCGGUGUGAUGGAGGGACUUGUGGAUGUCCAUGGCGUAGUCGACCGUGUUGGUCUUGUUAAGGAGCAUAAAAUGGACUUGAGGAUCUACUCAUCUGGGUACAUCUGCCGCUCCUGUCCGAACUCGAGGAGGGAAAAAAAAUGAAGAAAUUUGGGUUUAGGGAUCUGGGUUUUGGGUUUAUCGUUGAAUACUGGAACGGUAUAAAGAAAUUUGGGUUUGUGGAGAGUAGCAGAAACUGAGAAUGCCGAGAGAGAAUCAAAAAGCAAAGAAAAAGCGGAGAAGAAGUCGAGGUGCAGCGAUGACAGACGCCUGGGCUAGCUUCCACCGUGCGAAGCGGUGGCUCAUACUUUUCUCUGACCAUCUCCCCUCUCCCACUCAUGAAAUCGAGGAUCUGCGGCAAUGGCCUCUCUCUCUCUCUCUCUCUCUCUCUCACAGAGGAGGCAUGGCCUCCCAUCCCCGAAACCCUCACUGAAUGACAACAAACCUAAACCCACCCCAAUCCCUCUCUUACUCAGUCCAAACCCGUAGCUCCCAUCUCUCCAAUCCGUCAGUCCCUCUGUCCCCCUCCUCUCCUCCCCCCAACAACCCUCUGACCGAUGCAUCAGCCACAGAACACCCACCCGCACGUCCCUCCCGAAAAUCCUCUCCCCUAAAUCCCGGCGAACGUCUCCCUUUCAACCCUUCUGUCGCCCUUCCCUCUCUCUCCCCAAGCCAUAAGCCCAGAUCCAGCCGAAAGACCGAAGACCCGUUGUUAAGCCCAGUGGCAAUCUUGUAAAUGAAGCGAAAUUUAGGAUAGAAUCAGCCCGGUGGCAAACUCGUAAAUAAAGUGAAAUUGAUGCAAAAUUGCACAGUAGCAAUCUUAAUGUUCGAUUCAAACACUACGAUGCAAUGUCCGUAUUGUGAUUUGCUUUUUGUGGAUUUAAACUAGGGGAGUUUAACGAAAAGCACCUGGUACUGUUCACUUUAACGAAAAACCACAUUUUUACACUAAAAAGUCAAUCCUGGUACUAUUUACUUUACCCUUUAUUUUGUCCUUAUCAUUAAAACUCAAAGUUUUCAAGCCAUUUUCAUUAGUUUUCCUUUUAAACUAUCCAUUGCAGUGCAUGUUUGACUAGUCACAUUUAAUGUUGUAUUUUUUUUAUAUACCUUUAAAUAUUGGAUUAUUUAAUUUGAUUAUCAUAAAUCAGAAACUAUAACGCAGAGUCUUAAUUUACUUAUUUUGGGUAACAUAAACUGCAAUGCAAUAUGUGAAUCCCUAAUGACCAAUUCCAAAAUAUAUAAAAUAUGAAAAAGGGGUACCGAGUGUUAGAUUUUAUAAUUUUUAUUUAUUUUAAAUAAUUUUGUAGAAACCGUAUAUUCAAUAUCUAGAUUUAAGAGAUUACAACCUAUAUUUAUACACAAAUUAUAAGAUAUCUUCUUAGUGGUUACAAUGGGACGGAAAACCAAUUAUAUCCUAAUAAAGGCUAAUAACAACAUAAUAGCUAAACAAUAAUGUAUUGUCCUUGAAGAACCGUAACUAUGGUAACUCCCGUAACUCCCUAACAAAUUUAAAUACAGAUUUUGUAGUUUUUGUUUAUCCUUCCCUCCCAGUUGCAAACGUAUGCAUAGAAGGUCUAAACGCGGCUACGUUUGUCAUCAAAUAGGCCAAUAUAUACAUCACUGAAAUGGUGUGGAUUGAUACAUUCUUCUCCUGACUAUCCUUGUCCAGAUACUUUCCUGUGUAAACGAUUAGUUGAAAGAACAUCUGGUAUGGAUAUUGAACUUGGCAUAGCUUGUACCAAACAUUGCAUCAGUUGUUUUGCAACUCUUGAAGAUUUCCUUGCUUGCUUCAUGAAACAGUUUCGACAAACUAUGGAGUUAACAUCCCAUCUACAAAGUGCUUGUCCAGGGACUAUGUCACGUCCAUCUCCAAUCGUGUCAUUGUAAAAACCUCCUGUGAUGGAAGUGUUAGAAGACAAUGACUCAAUAGCCGCUCGAGAUUGCUUUCAAAUUGACUACUUCUGCCAUCAGCUGAACAAAAAAUUGAAAGGGGAUCUGUAGCAGAAAGGGCAGCCGGCAUCAACAGCACAAUAAUUGCGAAAAGCAUUACAAGAAGUUUAUCUUUGUCCAUUUGCUAGAAAAGGGUUCACGGUGAACACAGAUUUUGGCCAAAAGCAAGAAACACUUUGAAGAUUUAUUUUGACGACGUUUCAGUUUUGACAGUGAAGUUCCAGCUACAAGUUUACAUGUGACCAUCACAGAAACUUCCUUGCUGAUGGAAGACGCAAGCCGGAUGUGAUUAAAGUCAUGAUCUGCAUGUUGAUAGAGACCAGGAAUAACAUAUGGUGUUCAAAUGAUCGGUUAAUUGUUGAUUGAUCAAAGACUUUGCAGCUUGGUCACAUAUAGUGCAUGCUUAAACUACUUGAUUAAAAUGUGAUUGUUUAGAGUUGACUGGCCAAACAAGCAGUGUCUGUUGGUUAGUACAAGUCUAACUAUUUGUUUGACCAUUCUACUCGAAGGGAGCUGCCAUGAAAUUACUAGUAAGGUCUUUGGAGUCUUUAUAGCAGCAUGAGGAUGUGUGGGCAUACAAGAAAUAAUAUGAUCAAGAAUAAUAAGGAUAUCCAAUGUAAAGUAGGAAUGACCCCAAUUGAAAAUAAGAUAAGAAAAAAUUGAUUAAGAUGGUUUGAACAUUUGAAAUGAAGACCUAAAGAUGCUCCAGUUAGAAAACGCAACUACGUGACAAAGACUCAUAACACAAGGGCACAAGGGGUAGAUGAAGACUUAAAAAAAAUUAGGAGACUUUAAGAAAAGACAGAGACUAUUUGGAGCUAAUAAAAUACUUGGCCCAAAAUCGAGUACAGUGACGUUCUAGGAUUCAUACAAUCAACCCCACUUAAUGGGAUGAUGUAUUUUUGUUGUUGUUGAUGUGUUUAUGCAGGCUCUAUUUUGUUCACUUAUUAUAUAAACCGGUCAAAGUAUCGAUUUGCUUAUAUCGCACAAAUUUCCUUGCUGACCGAAAAUCCAUAGAUAUGCAAUCCUGCUCAACAAAGUCUUGAUCAAGAAUACUGUAUUGAUCAAAGACUUGUUUAAUUAAAUUAGUUAAACUCACAUCAGUAAAAAUUAAAAUUCAGUCACACCACAAGUUGAAAGAUUUGUUGACCCAAAACUAAUAGAUAAUGACAAGGACUUCACAACCAUCAAAUAAUAGUAAACUGUCAGUGUUUGAUUCGUGUUUGUAUUAUUUGAAAACAAAACUGCAAAUUGAUUCAGUGAGACGAUGAUUCACACCGAGCAGCUGAAAAACGAAGAACAAAGGAGGAAGAGAAUUCGGAGUCGUUGCUUCAGCAAGAAGGAUUCUAUUUCUUCUUGUUGAUGAGAAUGAGUUCACGUUAAUGGGAGGAAAUAUCUUGCAUGAACUUAUAAAAGAGACCUACUCUUCAUAUGGUCAAUUGGUUUUGUGGUGAAACCUCAACUUUUUUCAUGGUAUCAAAGUAGGUUGAAUAGAAUUUUACGGGAUAAUUUCCGUGUAUUCCAUAAUUCUCAAUUAAAGGAUAUGUACAACCCUAGUUACAAGAAAGGCAACAAAUAAAGGACAUAAUACCUUUCCUAAAACAAGACUCUAGUAAUUACAAAAUAUUUACAUUCUCUUUUCUACUAAAUAUUAACUUAUUCCAAUACUCCCCCUCAAGUUGGAGCAUAAAUAUUACUCAUGCCCAACUUGACAAGCGACUCACCAAACCUUCUAUUGCACAUGGCAUGGGUAAGUACAUCUGCAAGUUGUUCCUCUGAGUUCACAAAUGGUAUUGACACAAUCUUCUUCUCCAGCUUUUCUUUGAUAAAAUGUCUAUCAACUUCAACAUGCUUAGUCCUGUCAUGCUGUACUGGAUUCUCGGCUAUCUCUCUAGCGGACUUAUUAUCACAAUACAACUUCAUUGCCUCCUUCUGUGUAAAACCAAGGCUCUCAAGUAACUUUUGCAGCCAAAGCAUCUCGCAUACACCAUGUGCCAUUCCCCUAUAUUCGGCUUCGGCAGAAGACCGUGACACCACAUUUUGUUUCUUGCUCCUCCACGUAACCAAAUUGCCUCCAACGAAUGUAAAAUACCCCGAUAGACCUUCUAUCAGUCACAUCACCGGCCCAAUCAGCAUCCGUAAAUCCCUCGAUCCUCAUAUGCCCAUGACUCUCAUACAAAACUCCUUUACCCGGAGCAGACUUUAAGUAUGCCAAGAUUCUCAUCACUGCCUCCAUAUGAUCUACACUUGGUGAGUGCAUAAACUGACUAACCACACUUACCGCGUAAGCAAUAUCCGGACGAGUAUGAGACAAAUAAAUCAGCCUCCCCACCAGUCUUUGAUAUCUCCCUUUGUCAACCGGUUCCUGAUCUGGAUAAAUCCCCAAAUAAUGUUUCUCUACGAUAGGAGUGUCCACAGGUUUACACCCCAGCAUGCCUGUUUCCUUUAAUAAAUCCAGAACAUAUUUACGUUGAGACAAAAAAAUACCUCUAGAUGACCGAGCGACUUCCACUCCAAGAAAGUAUUUUAAAUCUCCCAAAUUCUUCAUCUCAAACUCGGCAGCAAGGUUUUGUUCAAGCUUCAUCAUCUCUUCUGAAUCAUCACCGGUUAUUAUCAUGUCAUCUACAUAAAUUAUUAAGGCAGUCACUUUACCACUUCCCCGUUUCACAAAUAAUGUAUGAUCCGAAUGACUUUGAUAAUACCCAAACCUCCUCAUAACCUGAGUAAAUCUCCCAAACCAUGCACGAGGUGAUUGCUUAAGUCCAUAGAGUGACUUUCGCAAUCUACAUACUCCGGUUUUUCCUCCGGCAUUGUACCCCGGAGGAAAAUCCAUAUACACCUCUUCUUCUAGAUGCCCAUGAAGAAAAGCAUUCUUUACAUCAAACUGUUUCAGUGGCCAAUUCAAGUUUGCAGCUAAAGAAAUCAGAACACGUACCGUAUUCAUCUUCGCUACUGGAGAAAAAGUUUCCUGAUAGUCAAUACCAUAAGUUUGAGUAUACCCCUUCGCUACUAACCUUGCUUUAUAUCUGUCUACCGAUCCGUCUGCCUUAUAUUUAAUUGUAAAAACCCAUCUACACCCAACUGGUUUCUUGCCUUUAGGUAGCUCCGUCACCUCCCAUGUAUCAUUCUUGUGUAGUGCCAUCAUUUCUUCAUCCAUUGCAGCAACCCAUUUAGGAUCCUUCAAGGCCUCCUCAACUCGGGUUGGUGCUUGGAUUGCUUCCACAUUAUUUACCCAGGCUUGACGUUCAGGUGCAAGGUUUUUGCACGACACAUAAUUUGAUAUUGGAUACUUUACUUUUCCUUCAGGAGAAAACCUGUCAGGAGGAACACCACGAUUUUGCCUUGGCGGCAACUUAUACAUACUUACAUCAUUAUUUGGAUUAGUUACAUGAGCAUCUGUAGUACUUACCUCAGGGAUAUUCAGAGUAGACACAUUGGGUGGCACUAUCGAGCGAGAGAGAAUGUGAUGUGGGUUCUGCAGAUGGCACUUCUUCCCUUAAAGUACUUGGUUCGGCAGUAGGCUGCUGGAUUAUUAUAGCUUCCUCAGUAGGACCUUGCCUAAAACCUGCACUUGUCUCGGCAGGCAGCAACUGAAGGCCCAUAUCAUUCUCGGCAAUUUCUUGUCGAAAAUUUGGUGUCCCAUUUUCAUCCUUGUCGUCAACACAUGCUCCCCCUGAACUACAUAUCACAUCCUCGGGUACCUCUAACCACCCAAGAUCAACUUGAUCACCACUAGUGUUCUCCCCCUGGUGAUCUGAAGGUGAUGGGAUCGAAGAAUAGAAAUACUCUGAUUCAGAAAAAGUAACAUCCAUAGUCACAUACAUAUGUCGAGUUUCAGGAUGAUAACACUUAUACCCUUUCUGUUAAGAGGCAAACCCAACAAAAACGCACCAAAGGGCACAUGGAUCCAAUUUGCUACGAUGAAUCAUGUGAAUAUGAACAUAUGCUACACAUCCAAACACACGAGGAGUAAGGGUAUUAGUGGAUACUACAGGAACAUGUUCCGUUAAUACUUGAAGAGGGGUACGGAAUUCUACAACCCGAGAUGGCAUACGGUUAAUCACAUACACAGCAUAGGUAACGGCUUCAGGCCAAAAACGUUUAGGCACAGACGCACCAAUAAGCAGGGCACGAGCAGUUUCCAAGAUAUGACGAUUCUUUCUCUCAUCAACCCCAUUUUGUUGUGGAGUAUGCGGACAUGUAGUUUGAUGAAUAAUUCCACGAUCUUGUAGAAACCGGGAUAACUCAGAAGCUAUGUACUCUUCACCGUUGUCAGAACACAAAACUUUAAUAUCAAUGGAAUACUGAGUUUUAACCAUCUGUUGAAACAGACGAAACACAUCACAAACCUCACUUUUAUUUUUCAACAUAUACAACCACAUCAUACGAGUGCAAUCAUCCAUGAAAGUAACAAACCAUCUAAUUCCCGAAGUAGUACUAACAGGGGAAGGCCCCCACACAUCAGAGUGUACUAGUGCAAAUGGAGAAGAUCUUCUAUUCAUACUUGGAGGGAAUGAAGCACGAUGACUUUUGGCUAAAAUACAUACUUCACAUUUCAAUUCUGAGUUUUCAAUACCACUGAACAAAUCAGGUACUAUAUGUUUCAAAUAACCAAACGAUGCAUGCCCCAAACGACGAUGCAAUAACAAUACCUUCUGUAGAUUCCUAUUACGUGACGAAUGAACCAAAUGAGCUCUUCCAGGAACCACGUCAUCCACAUAAUAUAGUCCCUCUCUCUUAGUGCCACGCCCAAUGAUCUCCUUUGUUUGAAUAUCCUGAAGCAAGCAAAAUGAAGGAUACAUUACUACAACACAAUCCAAUUGUUCAGUGACUUGAGGUACAUACAAUAAGUGAUGGGACAAUGACGGAACCAAUAAACAAUUAUGUAACGGAAGAGAGGGUGUAAGAGACACUGUUCCCGCUCCAACAAUGGCAGCAGUAGUACCAUUGGCAGUUGCCACACACUUUUUAUGAGAAUCUUUCAUGGACUGAAACAAAGUUCUAUCAUACGUCAUAUGAUCCGUUGCACCGGAAUCUAAAAUCCAACCGGUAUUGGUCAUUGUAAUAACAACUGCACAACAGUCUCUACACACUGCACAAAACAACAAGUACGCACAAUACUUAUACGCAACAAACUACACACUUGCAGCUGUAGACACGCUGAUCCACGGACAGAAAUCACUAGCACAAACUGUAGCCCACGGUACAAGAGAACAAUCCACACAUUGCAAGCAGUAGCAAGAACCCACAAAUCCUUUUUUUUUUUUCAAAAGAGAAAAAAUUGCAGAACUUGCAGACAUAAUCUGAAAUAAUAGUACUAACACGCACAGGAACAAGGGCACGAUAUUGGACAACAAUUCAAGUGCAGCUCGGCACAAGAAUUAUAGUUAUACUCACUGCAACAAAUUGGAUAGCAAGCCAAAUUGUUUACUACCCACGGGAUAAAGGAAAAGGUACUUUGACAAUUGAUGCAAAGCAAUUGUAUGCUAACAAUUGCACAACAAUUGUACACUGUUAAAAACCACAAGCACAUCAAUACCAUUCACACACGGUUGCACACACAGCAACAACACACACGCACAGUGACUGAUCUCUGCGAAAAGAAUUGCAGAAAAAACAGUUGAUUGAGCACAGCGGAAAAACUAGGGUUACGGCAGCCUUGGCUCUGAUACCAAAUAGAAUUUUACGGGAUAAUUUCCGUGUAUUCCAUAAUUCUCAAUUAAAGGAUAUGUACAACCCUAGUUACAAGAAAGGCAACAAAUAAAGGACAUAAUACCUCUCCUAAAACAAGACUCUAGUAAUUACAAAAUAUUUACAUUCUCUUUUCUACUAAAUAUUAACUUAUUCCAAUAGGUUGUCCCACGUGUGAAGCCAAACGGUAACACGCGCUCUGCGUCACCCUAUUGUAUUAUCCACGUGUUAGGCUUGAAAAUUUAUCACACGUGAGGGGACGUGUUGAGAAUAAGUCUCAUUUUAAUAGGAGGAGGGAAUUCCAUGGGCUUAUAAGAGGUUAAACUACUCUUCAUUUUACCAAUUGAUUUUAUGAUGAAACCUCAACUUUCUCUUCUUGUAGCUGAAUAGAGAGAGAGAGGGAGUUAGAUAUAGCUGAGCUGAGCUAUUGAAGGCAUACUAGUUAUUAGAAUCCUUUUUACUAUUUAUCCUAGUAUUAAUUAAGGGAACUGUUAUUAACACUAAAAAAAUCUCAUUAUAUACUCUUCACAAGUAUAUUUUUCUUUCUAAUUAUUGAAAGUUUGGAGUGUUAAAUGAGGUUUUAGGAGUGCUAAUAACAAUUCCCUUAAUUAAAGUUUGUAUAAUUAAUCAAAUAUAUACAAGGUGUGAUUGUAACAUUAUCAUGGGAUUCUUACUUCCAGCUUCUCGGUAUAUAGUUUUUAUCACAGAUUUAAAUAUCGAUAUUAUCGGCGAAAUAUCGCCGAUAAUAUCGAUUUUUCGGGUAAUGGAUAUUUAAAUAGGUUUCUGUGUGGUUUUCGUCCAAAUAUCGCGAUAUUAUCGAUAAUAUCGAUAAUAUCGCGAUAUUUUGGAAAUAUCGAGAUAUUUCGUUGAACGGUGCAAUCGGACUCCGAUUUCGAACGCCGGAGAUGGUGUGGCUGUUCCCGAGCCCAUUUCGUCCCAAAAACCUUGCAAAAACACGAAUUUUAACUUCAAUUUCACAUAUAUGCUUCAAAUUUCACGCAUGCAUCAACGAUUCAACAUAUGAUGUCGGUUUAGGGCUUAGGGUUUCAAUGGAAUCUCACCUGAAAAAUCGAUGACUGGGCCAACUCCUUUCUCAGCGGCGCACCACCAGAGACGACUGAGCCAAGUCCGACUUCGCCAGAGCCACGAUCAACGGCAGCGAAGGAUCGAGAGAGUGGGCGAAGGAUCGAGAGAGUGGGAGAAGGGGGAGAUCUGUGUGUGUGUGGGUCGAAUGGAGAAGGGGGAGAAGAGAGGUCAGGCCUCAGAGAAGAAGACCCCGGAGGCCCGGGAAACAACCGUCAUCGCCAACACGCGCAUCGACUGGAAGGAGACCCCGGAGGCCCACAUCUUCAAGGCGGACCUCCCGGGGAUCAAAAAGGAGGAGGUGAAAGUGGAGGUGGAGGACGGGAGGGUCCUGCAUAUCAGCGGCGAGAGGAGCAGGGAGCAGGAGGAGAAGACGAAGAACUGGAGAAGGGAGAAGCUCAGAAGUUCUAGAGAGAAGGAAGGGAGAGAAGAGAAAGACAGAAGUUCUAGAGAGAGAAGGAUCCAGAGUGAGACUCUGUGGGCGUGCGUGGUUUUGGAUUUUGGGGGGGGGGGGUUUGUCUGUGUGACACACUGACUCACUGACUCUCUCUUCUGCGUGUGAUGUGUGGUGGUGUGAGAAAAAAAAAAGAAUCCAAUGCAAUGAUCCAAUCCAAAUAAUUCAAAAUCAAAUAAAAAAACAUAUAAAUAAUUCAAAAGCAUCUCCAAAUAAUUUUGACAAGACACUCACUCUACACAUAGAGAUGAUGAAGAUAGUGAAAAAAUUGAACCUCAUAGGAACUCUAUGUGGUACUAAAGUGUAAAAUAUUGUACUAAUUCAUUAUAUAAAUGAUUAUGGUGUGUUUAGACUUCUUUCAUUAAUUACUACAUAUUUUCUACACUCACAAUGUUUGUCAGCUCGCUAUAUAAUCAACUUGAUAAUGUUAAAUCCAUCAUGCAAUGCAUUUCCUUCCAAUUUUUUGUGAUAAACUAAUAGAUAAUUGACUAAAUAAACAUCCUGCAAAGUUUCAAUAAAAAUUUCCAAGUUUUUCUUACAAUUUCCGUGGUUUCCAUGUAAUUUUUAUCGAUAUCGAUAUUUUACCGAUAUUUCCAUCGAUAUUUCCGUGUUUUCAGACUACCGAUAUUUCCGAUAUUACCGAUAUUUAAUACCAUGGUUUUUAUAAAAGAACAUGGAUCCCCUCCGGAUCCAUUAUGUGGGGAUCUUAGGAAUCCCCACAUCUCAUCCGUACAUCGUGAAUCGUGCGGUCAGAAAUUAUUUUAUUUUUAUUAUUUUAAGUUAAUCACAAAUAGUACCUUACGAAAACUGGCCGCACGAUAUACGAUGAAUGAUUGGGAUGUAGGGAUCCUUAGAAUCCCCACAUAAUGGAUCCGGAGGGGAAGACAUUUUCUCACUUAAAACAUCGUCGUCAUGGAUAUUUUUCGUUGUAAAAAUUUAGGGCUUCUUUGGUACUCUACUUGAAUCCAAUUUUUUAAACUUAAAAACAAUUUUCAAGUUUUAGACCUUAAAAAAUUGUUUGGUAGGACUAUUUUAAAAAAUUGAACUCAAGACUAACUAAAAAAUAUAGUCUAUUCUCUAAAACCAUAAAAAGUGAGUUUUUAAAGUUUUUAAAUUUAAACUCACUCAUUUCUUUCAUUUCCGCUUGCUCUCUCUCACUCCAAAUCUAUCUCUCUCUUUUCUUCUUUCUCUUUCCUCUUUUAUUUUAUUUAUUUAUUUUUUUUUCCUUUUUGUGUCUCCUCCAAUUUGCUCUCUUCAUUCUCUCGGUUAUUUCUCUCACUCCUCUUCUUCUCUCCUUCAAUCAUCUCUUAUUUUCUUUCCUUCUCUCUUCUCUUUCUCCCUCUCCUAUGACCCCCCUCUUUUUAGAUCUCUUUGUCUAGUUUAAGUUGUAAAAUUUAAAAUUUUUAAAUCGCCAACCAAUUAAGUUUUUGAGUCUUAAAGAAAAUUGUUUUCAAGAAAUGUUCUUAAUAAAUGUUUUGAGAAAUGAUAAAAAAAUUCAAAUAGGAUACCAAACAUGCCCUUAAAUUCCUCACUGUUUCAUGGAUCAAAUUGGUUAUCAAACUCAGUUCACAAUCUUGCGAGAAAAUUGAAAUUUCCUUGAGUAAUUAUCUGCAUAUAUAUGACACGAAUUUAUAGAUUUUUUAAUUUGAGAAGAAAAUCACACCAAAUUGAGGUAUAGUUAGAUCACAUGAAAAAUAACACUCCUACUGAAAGAUAUGAGAAAAUUUGAGCAUCGGUCCCUAAACAGGUCAUAAGGUAUAGUAAUGGUUCUUUUGAGUAAACAUUGUUUUAUAAUACCUUCCAAAAUUAAGGGUUUAAAGAGGAAAAUAUAAAAGGAAUUAUUCUAACGUGAUUACCAAAAAUAAAUAAUGUUACAGAUUGUAACAAGUUAUGGACCACUAUUCAAAUUAACUCAAAACAUAUUAAGUAUGUAAAAUAACACUACUCAAGUCAUACUGCUAGUCAUAUACAGGAUGCGUAAUAACAAAUUAUGUAGAUUCGAGAUUAUUAGGGAGCGCAUGGUAAUUAACAUUUACCCUAUACAAAUGACAAGGUGAAAGAAAAACUGUAAAGAUUAUAGGAUUGUCUCUAAAUGCAGCUCAAGAGCCUUUAACGGAAGAACUUCCAAAAUAUUAACCUUAUUGUCAUCGGUCUCAACGAGGAACAUCGAUAGAAAUGGUCAAACCAUUGCCUGAGCAAUCUUGAGGACGCACUUGAUCAUGGUGGUCAACAUAUCCUCCUGUAAAGAAGGCUGGUUUCUCAGGUCUGGGAAGAAUAAUAGUUUCACUUUUUAACAUAAGAACAACUGAGGACAUGGUCGGCCUGUUGUUUGCAUCUUCUUGAACACACAAUAGUCCAAUGUGGAUGUACCUCAAAAAUUCAUUUGGACUGCAGGAAUCUUUUAACAAGGGAUCCAUCAACUCCAACCCUUUCGUUUCAUUCCAUAAUUGCCAAGCCUGCAAUCAAUAUCUCUCAGGGAUGUAUGUACUACUCCAGUUUUAAUAGCUACAUUAAUUAGCUCACGAAUAUUUUGAAUAAGUAUUUCAAGUAAAAAACUUACAUAACCUAUAAGAGUAGGUUUACAAUUUGUGCGAUGAAAGCCUAAAAAGUUCCUUCUCCCCGUUAUGAUCUCAAGCAGAAGUACUCCGAAGCUGAAGACAUCCGAUUUUACUGAAUACAACCCUUCCAUAGCAUAUUCUGGAACCAUGUAACCACUUUACAGGACAGAAAUGGUUGACAUAUAUUAGAGUUUAAAUAACAAAUAUAUACUUUUCCGUUGUCUAUUUAAAGAUAGAGUUAAGUACAUAAGUUGAAACAAAUAAUUGGAACUUAAGAUUACUAAUAUUAGAUAGAGGUAUUUGUAUAAGUUGAAACUUACUAAGUACCAACAAUUCUUUUGGUAUUUCCUUCAGUUUGAUCAUCAAUUCCAAACAUUCUAGCCAUCCCAAAAUCUGAUAUUUUCGGAUUCAUGUUGCUAUCUAAUAAAAUGUUGCUAGCUUUCAAAUCACGAUGUAUAACUCUAAGCCUCGAAUCUUCAUGAAGAUACAAAAUUCCUCGAGCAAUUCCUCCAAUUAUCAUGGUGCGGCUCAACCAAUCUAGUUGUUCUCGUUUUUUAUGUUCUGCAAAUUUAUCAAGUUCAAGUAGUACUUUUUGAAGUUAGGAACGACAAAGAAUUAUAUUUACUGACACAAACAUAUAUGUAUAUUCAUCAAAUGAUGUUCACAUACCAAAUAAAAAAUAAUCAAGGCUUUUGUUGGGCACAUAUUCAUAAACAAGUAUGGUUUCUUCUCCUUCCAAGCAAAAUCCUAAUAGCCUGACAAGAUUUCUGUGUUGAAGCUUGGCUACCAAUACAACCUCGUUCUUAAAUUCUUGUACACCUUGUCCGGAGCUUUUUGACAACCUCUUUACUGCUAUUUCUUGUCCACUAAUAAGCAUUCCCUGUGAUAAGGUAUAUAGGUACUUUAGUUUAUCCAACAAUUUUGUUGUGAUCUAAGCAAUUUAUAUAUACAAUACAAUGUUGGAUUAAUAGAAUGACUCAUGAACUAAUGCAUUAUAUAUUUGUUGGGUUAUUACCUUGAAAACUGCACCGAAUCCACCUUCGCCUAACUUGUUAUAUUCGGAGAACUUAUUUGGCAGGUCAGGUUUUUUCACAAGAGUAAAUUGUAGUUAUGGUCCCUGAACUUUACUCAAAUUGGAGCAAUGGUCAUUCAACUAAAAAUCCAUUAUCAUUGGUCCUUCAACUCAUUAAAACGUGCAGCUAUGGUCCCUCAACUAAAAAUCUAUUACCUUUGGUCCCUUAAUUUUAAUUCAACUGGAGAAAUGGUCCCUUAAUUUUAUCCCAAUUGUAACUAUGGUCCUUCAAACAUAACUCGUUUUGACAAAAUUUUUUACGUAGUUGACGAAAAUGACCAUAAUUACACACUUUGAUGAGUUGAUGGACCCUAAUUAAAUAAAUGGUUAUUCCAACAUAACAUAUUUUGACAAAAUUUUGAGAAAUUAAUGAAAAUGACUAUAGCUACACAUUUUAAUAAGUUGAGGGACCAAUGGUAAUGAAUUUUUAGUUGAGGGACUAUUGCUCCAAUUUGAGUAAAGUUCAUGGACCAUUGCUACAAUUUACUCUUUUCACAAUAAAGCCGGCCUCGGUGAUCAAUAGUGGAACAAUCACUAUAUAUAUUGUAUUUUAUUUCGUAAGGUAUGAUGUGAGAAUCUUACCUUCAAUGGAUGUUUUAUAUAUUACCUUGUAAACAGAACCAAAUCCUCCUUGUCCUAGUUUAUUGGCUUCAGAAAAGUCAUCUGCGGCAAUUCUAAUGGUGUCAAAAUUGAAUUGCAAGGAUUCUGCACUUCCAAUUUCGUCCAUGUCUUCGCCUGCGGUACAAUUUUAACAAAAUAUUGAUAUGUAACAUAAUUACAUCUAGAUGACGUAACAGUACUAGGCUUCCCACUUGAAGAAAAUUGAGUUAAAUUAAUGUUACUGUGUCUAUUUUGUUACAAUACGUACCUGGAAUUAAAUUACUUUGAAACAUUUUCUUUGCAUUCCGUACUCUUAGACAAAUGCCCAUGAACAUUGCUAGUACCAAAGAAGCAAUAAUUGGCACAACAAUAAUGAUGACAGUCCGAGAUUUGCCGUUCUUCAAUCCUGCAAAGUAAAAUCAUAAAUAUAUCUUCUCUAAUCACAUGAGAUUCUGAAUAACAUGUUUAAGUGAUUGAUCUAUCAGAGAGAGGAGUUACCAUUGAUCAAUUAAAUUUUGAGAUCAGUGUCAAGCAAAUAUAGUCAUCAACGUAUGUAAUGGAGUGUACAUACAUAUACGUUAUGCGUGCGUACCUUGUGAAGUGUUUGUGGUAUUGGUUGAUGGUGGUGGAGAAUGUAUUGGUGGCGGAGAUGGCAGUUGUUUGACAGUUGUAGGGUCAUAGAAGGGGUAAAGAUCGAAUCUAAAGUAACAGCUAGGUUUAUUAACUCCCCCACCUACUUUCCCGUAAAAAUUGGAGCUAUAUGCAAAAGCCCCAACUAAGCAAUCACUGCAAUUUUGCUCUGAUAUGUCUGGCGUGCAUUGCGCUAGUGCAAAUAUUGUUUGGAAAGUUGGGGCACUUGUGUUUCCGAAUGCAAAUUUCCGAAGAGAACCGCCAGCUGCAGCUUCCCUUCUUAUGCUGUCCAGUAGCUUCUCCAGCUCUUGGUUGAAUCCAUCCAGCUCGGACGACGAUAUGUUAUUUAUGUUCCAGUAAUACGGCGAAGGCCGCGAAGGCUCAGUUUCCAUGACGCCAUAGAUGGAGCGGUUUGAGUAGCGUAAAUUGCAUUUCUCAUACGAUCCAAAUGCUUCCUUCUGAUUAGGACAACGCUGAAGGAGAUCAUAUCGGGAAUUAUUUAGGCAGCUACGACAAUCUCCCACCGUGACAUCUCCUCUACAAAGCCCGAUUGCAUAAAUGUGCUCGUUCGACGAGUUUAGGCGAUAGGAUGCAUUAUAAAAGCCAUACCCGUUGCCGUUUUCGUCGGAGGGCAGGGAGGAGAGGAGGCGGUUGAGGUUUGUCUGAUAGGUACUAUUGGUGGUAUAGUUUCCUUUUCCGUCUAUGCAAUUUUGACCAAGGGCUUGAUUAAUCAUGAGAAACAGAAUGGGAAAGAGGCAGAAUAGAAAUCUUGAGGAAUCCAUUGCUGGCAUUAUUUGAUAUUUUUGCUAAAAUUGGUUUGUAAAAGAGGAUUAUAGUUCUGAUGGAAAACUUGCUACACGUCUAUAUAUGAAGAACGAAGUCAAUGAAUACCUCACUUUACACAAGACGCGGUGGUGGGAAGACCAGACUUUUUUUUCUUUUUUUUUUAACACAGACCAGACUUUUAAUAGUAGCUCUAGCUACGAUACAGUAUUGGUACUUGCUACCAUUCCUCUACACGUGCAUGUUUAAGCGCAACUUUUUCACGCAUCAAGCCUAUGCAACUAUUAUGAAGAAAGGAUGUCGUUGUGGGGGUCUCAAGCCAAUAACACUCUUAUAUUGAUAAGUUGAAAUUUAAAAUGCAUAAUAACUUUAAAUCAAAUAAUACGUGAUUAAUUUAAAAUACCGCUAUAAUGAUAUCAUUGUAUAAGCAAGUGUCUAUUUUAUAUUACAUCUUUGUAGGUAUUCUUUCAUCAGCGAGGUUUCACUCUAUUAUAAUUGAAGAUGCUGACAUAGACGGGAGUGCUAAAUUAAAUAUUUAAGGAAGCUUCUUCCGAGACUUACACUAUUCAACCAUUGAAAUAAAGUAAACCACAGAUUGCAGGAGUGGUUGGCUCUGGCUGGGCCAACUUCUCUUUGCUUCUCGGUGCACGCAAUCUCUCGGUCAACAAGGUAAAUCAAUUAUAAUACGCAAUUCUGACAAUCAUUUACUCGUUUCGGUGGUUAUACCUUUCUACUUUAUGGUCAGAAUUAAAUUGUCGAUUUGUGACUGACUGUUUCUUAGUUCCUUUCGUCUCGGCUUACAUUGAUUGUAAUCGGAAAAUACAUGGUAGCUAUUACGAUGAGCAAGAAAAGUUACAAUAAUUGAUAUUGCUGCACACCCUACUCUUUACUAUAGUUGAUACUAGCAAAGAUGCCCAAGCUCCAUUGCGGGUUUUGAAUUCGUAAUCAUAGUUUAACACACCAAUUUUUAAAUAAUUCAGAAACCAAUCAAAGCAGCUGAAUCGACAUAGUAAAUUACGUCUUUCAGUUGGAUCUACAUUCUAUUGAAUUUACAUUAAAAGCCUAUCUUAAAAAAAUGGCGGAUUUUUUAAAGUCCCAACUAUAUACAAUGUACGAGUAUUUCACAUGAAUUGGAGAAUGAUGGUUGUUUAAUUGUACCUAAAGUGCAGCAGUAGCUGUCAGUGUGUGGCUAAAGGGUGCGUUUGGUACGUGGGACGGGACGGGACGGAACGGGACGAGGCGUUCCGUCCCGCGUUUGGUACGCCAAAAAUGGGUGGAACGGGCUGUUCCACGGAACAGAUUUUGAGUGUUUUUGCGUUCCACCUCCCCCCCCGGAACGGGUUUGUUACACGUUUGCGGAACGCAAUGUUUUACCAUUUUAAGACAAAUAUACCCCAUGUCUUUUUCAAAAAUUACACCUUCGUUCCGUCCCGUCCCGUUCCGUCCCGUCUGCGUAUCAAACGCACCCAAAAUGCACCUGCACAGUGAAUCAAAAUUGAGUCAUGAUUCCUUGUACUUGUAGCAUAAGUAGAAGAGCAGGUAACUUGGGAUUUAAAAAUUAUACUUUUUCCCAAAAAAUUAUUCAAAUUCACUUAAUAGGUAACUUUCAUGCUCCUUCACUUUACUUUCUAUUUGGCUAGUUCAAUUUUGUACUCGAAUCUUUUCAAAUUCACAUCAGAAAGAUGGCAGCAGUUUAAGUCUUGAAGGUUCUCUUCAUUUAUGUCCUAGUUCAUGGGAAAAACAAAAAAUGUGAUUGCAAAGAUGUGAUUCCCAACAACAAAUCCUACCAAAAUCUGAUCCUUUCACCAGUACCUACCAACAAUUGAAUAUCCCACCAACACUCCAAAUUUUG